UUGGGUCACGAGAACGCUCCUGUUUUUUAUUGGAUCUUAUGAUAGUCCCAUACUUUUAUAAUAUAAGCUCAAUCAAAUGCUAUAAUAUAAGCACUUAAAAGUCUACAGAAAGCACUUAAUAAAAAUUCCUUGAUGACUGUGGCAAACUUCAAAGAAUUAUGAAAAUUGUACCUCCUUCUUCAUCUUCUUUCUAAACCCACCACCACCACCUUCGCUAGCCACCAUCAUCUCCGGCAAUCACCUGAAAAUCACCACUGUCAACCAAAAAAUCACCAUCAGAAAAAGAGAAAUCACUGCCGGCAACCGAAAAAUCACUGUUGACAAUCGAAAAUCACCACGAUUUGCCACUAUUUUUUCCCAGCUACCAAACGUCCAUUAACCCCGACCACAAACAUAAUAACAAAAAUCACUAUAUUUAAGUAUGAAUCACCACAAAUCAACUAUCAAAUUCACCACAUCCAGAAUUGUAUCUGCCCACGAAUCCGGCCACCAACCCUAUUCAUCAGCUUCGAUCACCAACAUCGUACCUAAAAUCACCAGAUUUAAUUAUAAAACACUACAAUUAAACUAAACCACCACAUCACCUCCAACACCACCGUCUACAGAUCCGCAAUAUCUAACGAAUCACCAACUACAACCCAAAAUCACCAGAAAAUGAACGUAUAUCAAUAAAAAUUGAGAAAAUACCAAAUUUACAAAAAAUAAUUAGGGGAAGAAGUCGGUAAUGAGCUUCCUGAAGCUAAAGCAGAUCCAUUAGUCGAUAAAAAUGGUACUGACUCCAAACUCCACCACUAUUGGACAUGGUCUUACUAGCUACCUACC
rnacentral:lncRNA from 1 species